AUGAUUUUGCAGGUUACAGAAUUCUAGGUUGGUAGUUUUUUUUUUCUCUCAACACUUUAAAUAUUUCACUUCACUUUCUUCUUGCUUGCAUGAAUCCUGAGAAGUUAGAUGUAAUUCUUAUUUUUAUUCCUCUGUAGGUUGUUUGCCCUAUUUCUGGAUGGCCAGAUCUGGACAGGAUUAGCAUCAUGGUCAGCCCUGACAGCGGGGAAGCCAUCACCAAGGGGUAACACUGGGAAGAGAGGACGACUUGUCUGGAUGGUGGUAACAGGCCACUCUUCAGCCAUCAGCAUGUAGAAUCACAACAUUGCCCCACUCUUCCCGGUGGUGCAGAGCCCGGGGAAAUCUCCCAAAUCCUCGUAUCCCAGGAGCAACUCCACAGAACCAGGUCAGCCUAACUCCCCCAGUGAAUCAGUUCAGGGCUCUUUACUACCAGCAUCAGAAACCAGCUCUAGCUAAUUUAAUCCCAAAUGGAAUUUAGUAAAACAUUGAGAUGGUUGGAGAACCAGGCUUGGACAAGGGCUUCUGAAACAGGAAAGACACCCCAAAGCAUUUCACAGAACCAACUGGCAAAGACACCAUCCUCAACCCAGACACUGGACACACUGUUGUUGACUUUGGCGUUGGAGACCAGAAAAACUCCUCUAUCAAAGAACACCAUCAAGUCCUGAAGAAUCUCUACAAACCACGAUCUAUUUACCAUUCUCCAGAAGGGAAAGUGAUGGAAGAGCUAACAGCUGCUUGUUUGAAGCUUAAAGUCCAAGUUGUAAUAUUUAUUCUGACGAACCUUCUGAGAACCAGAAGGGAACCUCUCAGCGCAAAGGGAAAAUUUUGGCCCGUGACUAUGCAUGGUGACAAGUCCUGCAUUGAAGAGAAAAGGAGCCAGUUUUGCUCACCUAGAACUGGGAUGGUCUUCUCACUCUAGGAGACUCCGAAGAAUCUUCCCUGGAUGUGUAAACAGCACAGAUGACUCUGCCCGCCACAGAAAUUAUGAUGCUAGGCACCAUGGGUGUGCAAAGUGAAUGUUUUGAAACUUGCCGCCCACGCUUGCCACCUCCCUGCACCCACUGAAUUUCAACACUGGUCUAGUGGAGCAAUGUUGAUAUUCCCCUGGCAGGAACUCCUUCCCAGAGGCUCUAGGAUGAGGCAGGCUUGCUCGGAGCAGUUUCCCUGCAUGGUGAUUUGAUGGCAUGCAGUGGACUUGCAAAUUAACUGGAUGUGAAAUUUUAUUUUCAGCACAAAAUUUUGCCAGGACAUAAAUACUCUCUAUUGGGCCUUCCCCAAUAUCAAGCCUCUGAUGCUGCCUGGUGUGAGCACCAGUGAGAAUAUGGACUGGACUGUCAGUUGUCUGUUCGAUUUUACUUAAAAUGAUUAUUGACCCUCCCUGCCCCCAGCCUGAUUUCUCUCAGAGCUGAUCUAAUUUCUUUCGUGAUCUGUGCCUGUGGACUCCUGUUAAUUUGUUAACUGAGUUAGCUGCUGCCAGAGCAUCAGAAGAUCUUCACUGGGCUCUGUACAGGGUCUAACGGUGGAACGCUGACGGUAAUAAAGCUGUGCUGGUUGAAACAAA